GACGAACGCUGGCGGCGUGCUUAACACAUGCAAGUCGAACGGAAAGGCCCUGCUUUUGUGGGGUGCUCGAGUGGCGAACGGGUGAGUAACACGUGAGUAACCUGCCCUUGACUUUGGGAUAACUUCAGGAAACUGGGGCUAAUACCGGAUAGGAGCUCCUGCUGCAUGGUGGGGGUUGGAAAGUUUCGGCGGUUGGGGAUGGACUCGCGGCUUAUCAGCUUGUUGGUGGGGUAGUGGCUUACCAAGGCUUUGACGGGUAGCCGGCCUGAGAGGGUGACCGGCCACAUUGGGACUGAGAUACGGCCCAGACUCCUACGGGAGGCAGCAGUGGGGAAUAUUGCACAAUGGGCGGAAGCCUGAUGCAGCAACGCCGCGUGCGGGAUGACGGCCUUCGGGUUGUAAACCGCUUUCGCCUGUGACGAAGCGUGAGUGACGGUAAUGGGUAAAGAAGCACCGGCUAACUACGUGCCAGCAGCCGCGGUGAUACGUAGGGUGCGAGCGUUGUCCGGAUUUAUUGGGCGUAAAGGGCUCGUAGGUGGUUGAUCGCGUCGGAAGUGUAAUCUUGGGGCUUAACCCUGAGCGUGCUUUCGAUACGGGUUGACUUGAGGAAGGUAGGGGAGAAUGGAAUUCCUGGUGGAGCGGUGGAAUGCGCAGAUAUCAGGAGGAACACCAGUGGCGAAGGCGGUUCUCUGGGCCUUUCCUGACGCUGAGGAGCGAAAGCGUGGGGAGCGAACAGGCUUAGAUACCCUGGUAGUCCACGCUGUAAACGGUGGGUACUAGGUGUGGGGUCCAUUCCACGGGUUCCGUGCCGUAGCUAACGCUUUAAGUACCCCGCCUGGGGAGUACGGCCGCAAGGCUAAAACUCAAAGGAAUUGACGGGGCCCCGCACAAGCGGCGGAGCAUGCGGAUUAAUUCGAUGCAACGCGUAGAACCUUACCUGGGUUUGACAUGGAUCGGGAGCGCUCAGAGAUGGGUGUGCCUCUUUUGGGGUCGGUUCACAGGUGGUGCAUGGCUGUCGUCAGCUCGUGUCGUGAGAUGUUGGGUUAAGUCCCGCAACGAGCGCAACCCUUGUUCACUGUUGCCAGCACGUUAUGGUGGGGACUCAGUGGAGACCGCCGGGGUCAACUCGGAGGAAGGUGGGGAUGACGUCAAGUCAUCAUGCCCCUUAUGUCCAGGGCUUCACGCAUGCUACAAUGGCUGGUACAGAGAGUGGCGAGCCUGUGAGGGUGAGCGAAUCUCGGAAAGCCGGUCUCAGUUCGGAUUGGGGUCUGCAACUCGACCUCAUGAAGUCGGAGUCGCUAGUAAUCGCAGAUCAGCAACGCUGCGGUGAAUACGUUCCCGGG
rnacentral:rRNA from 1 species